rnacentral:rRNA from 1 species
UACGAGGGAUGCAAGCGUUAUCCGGAAUUAUUGGGCGUAAAGCGUUUGUAGGCGGGCGAGUGUGUUUAAUGUUAAAUCUUAAAGCUCAACUUUGAAAUUGCGUUAAAAACUGCUUGUCUUGAGUAUGGUAGGGGUAAAGGGAAUUCCCAGUGUAGCGGUGAAAUGCGUAGAUAUUGGGAAGAACACUAAACAGCGAAGGCACUUUACUAGGCUAAUACUGACGCUGAGAAACGAAAGGUAAGGUAGCGAAACGGAUUAGAUACCCGUGUAGUCUUACCCGUAAACUAUGGAUACUAAACGGUAAAUUUUUAAUUUACUGUUAAAGCUAACGCGUUAAGUGUCCCGCCUGGGGAGUAUGCUUGCAAAAGUGAAACUCAAAGGAAUUGACGGGGGCCCGCACAAGCGGUGGAGCAUGUGGUUUAAUUCGACGGUACACGAAGAACCUUACCAGGAUUUGACAUGCUAGAUAGUUGCUUGAAAGAGUAACGUGCCGUAAGGAAUCUAGACACAGGUGGUGCAUGGCUGUCGUCAGUUCGUGUUGUGAAAUGUUGGGUUAAGUCCCGCAACGAACGCAACCCUUGUCUUUAGUUAUUUUCUAAAGAGACUGCCUGUAAUAAACAGGAGGAAGGUAAGGAUGAGGUCAAGUCAUCAUGCCCCUUAUGUCCUGGGCUACACACGUGCUACAAUGGGAAAGACAAUGAGCUGCAAAUCUGUAAAUUUAAGCAAAUCUCUUAAACUUUCUCGUAGUUCGGAUUGUGGGCUGCAACUCGCCCACAUGAAGUUGGAAUCGCUAGUAAUCGCCAGUCAGCUAUAUGGCGGUGAAUCCGUUCCCGGGCCU